rnacentral:rRNA from 1 species
GGCGGCAGGCUUAACACAUGCAAGUCGAGCGCCUCGCAAGAGGAGCGGCAGACGGGUGAGUAACACGUGGGAAUCUACCCAUCCUUACGGAACAACUCCGGGAAACUGGAGCUAAUACCGUAUACGCCCUUCGGGGGAAAGAUUUAUCGAGGAUGGAUGAGCCCGCGUUGGAUUAGCUAGUUGGUGGGGUAAAGGCCUACCAAGGCGACGAUCCAUAGCUGGUCUGAGAGGAUGAUCAGCCACAUUGGGACUGAGACACGGCCCAAACUCCUACGGGAGGCAGCAGUGGGGAAUAUUGGACAAUGGGCGCAAGCCUGAUCCAGCCAUGCCGCGUGAGUGAUGAAGGCCCUAGGGUUGUAAAGCUCUUUCACCGGAGAAGAUAAUGACGGUAUCCGGAGAAGAAGCCCCGGCUAACUUCGUGCCAGCAGCCGCGGUAAUACGAAGGGGGCUAGCGUUGUUCGGAUUUACUGGGCGUAAAGCGCACGUAGGCGGAUCGAUCAGUCAGGGGUGAAAUCCCAGAGCUCAACUCUGGAACUGCCUUUGAUACUGUCGAUCUGGAGUAUGGAAGA